GAUGUAGAAAUGAUGAGUUUCUCAUGUCUCUUCUCUGACUAAAUAUUGUUAGGUUCUAAUUAUCAGAGUAAGAAC
rnacentral:snoRNA from 1 species